GCUCGUGUAGGCGAACGGAAUAGCCAACCGGUUCAAACCCGGUCCCUCUGCAGGUUCGACUCCUGCCACGAGCA
rnacentral:tRNA from 1 species